rnacentral:rRNA from 1 species
GUGGGGAAUUUUGGACAAUGGGCGCAAGCCUGAUCCAGCCAUGCCGCGUGCGGGAAGAAGGCCUUCGGGUUGUAAACCGCUUUUGGCAGGAACGAAACGGCGCGAGCGAAUAUCUCGCGUUAAUGACGGUACCUGCAGAAUAAGCACCGGCUAACUACGUGCCAGCAGCCGCGGUAAUACGUAGGGUGCAAGCGUUAAUCGGAAUUACUGGGCGUAAAGCGUACGCAGGCGGCUUUGCAAGACAGGUGUGAAAUCCCCGGGCCUAACCUGGGAACUGCAUUUGUGACUGCAUGGCUAGAGUUUGUCAGAGGGGGGUGGAAUUCCACGUGUAGCAGUGAAAUGCGUAGAUAUGUGGAGGAACACCGAUGGCGAAGGCAGCCCCCUGGGAUGUGACUGACGCUCAUGUACGAAAGCGUGGGGAGCAAACAGGAUUAGAAACCCUGGUAGUCC